rnacentral:lncRNA from 1 species
CUUUAAUACAAUAACAGAAUUUUUAAGUGUUAAUUUGGGGGCUGGGGUGAGGGGUUACGUUCUGCUGUGCCGUGGUUAAGUGGCCGCAUCCCUCUGCUGUGACCGCACCGUCCGGAAGAUGUUCUCUUUCCUCCACUUGAGCUCACAGAAAACCCGCUCGAAGCACUCAUGCAUGUAGUUGAAGUAGGGGGUGAAGAUUUUAACCCAUCGGGGUUUCUUCUCUCCUCGAGCAUAUUCAAAACAAAAGGCCAUUCCCUCUUCGUCCGUGUCCCACCGCUGCAUU